rnacentral:rRNA from 1 species
UACGUAGGGGGCAAGCGUUGUCCGGAAUCAUUGGGCGUAAAGAGCGCGUAGGCGGCCCUGUAAGUCCGCUGUGAAAGUCAAGGGCUCAACCCUUGAAUGCCGGUGGAUACUGCAGGGCUAGAGUCCGGAAGAGGCGAGUGGAAUUCCAGGUGUAGCGGUGAAAUGCGUAGAUAUCUGGAGGAACACCGGUGGCGAAGGCGGCAUCCUGGACCAACACUGACACUGAGGAGCGAAAGCCAGGGGAGCAAACGGG